CAGAUUGGCUAUGUGUUCGGCUUGAAACCGUCUUACGGGGGUUCGACUCCCUCCUUUCUUG
rnacentral:tRNA from 1 species